GUACAAACUUUGGUAGCACAGAUACUAAAAUUAGAACAAUACAGAAUAGCAUGCCUCCCUGUAUAAAAAUGACAUGUACAUUUUGAAGUUGUUUAUUUUUUUU
ensembl:snRNA U6 U6 spliceosomal RNA